rnacentral:rRNA from 1 species
UGGGGAAUAUUGCACAAUGGGCGAAAGCCUGAUGCAGCAACGCCGCGUGAGUGAUGAAGGCCUUCGGGUUGUAAAGCUCUGUCUUCUGGGACGAUAAUGACGGUACCAGAGGAGGAAGCCACGGCUAACUACGUGCCAGCAGCCGCGGUAAUACGUAGGUGGCAAGCGUUGUCCGGAUUUACUGGGCGUAAAGGAUGCGUAGGCGGAUACUUAAGUCAGAUGUGAAAUUCCCGGGCUUAACUUGGGAACUGCAUUUGAAACUGGGUAUCUAGAGUGCGGGAGAGGAAAGUGGAAUUCCUAGUGUAGCGGUGAAAUGCGUAGAGAUUAGGAAGAACACCAGUGGCGAAGGCGACUUUCUGGACCGUAACUGACGCUGAGGCAUGAAAGACGUGGGGAGGCAAACAGGAUUAGAUACCCUGGUAGUCCACGCCGUAACGAUGAAUACUAGGUGUGGGGGUUA